AUCCUACGGUAUUACUGCAAGCGAGUGCAUUUGUGGCCUUGCGUCACCUUGAGCUCAGUAAAUGAAACAGGAAAUGCAGUGUUGCUUCUGCAAAAGGCGAUCAUAAGGAACAGUCAAAUCAAGCUACUAAUGAAAUCAAACCUUCAAGGACAUAUGUUGAAAAUUCCUGGACUCCCUGCCUAUAGCGAAAAUCGUGAAAGAUGACUAACGUGUUUUUGGAAAGAUUAGGGUAUCUGUUUUACAUCGUGAAUCCCAACAAAACAUCGUUUGAGACUGUAGAAGAAGUGCCUGAAUAUGUACCACAAGUUGUGCCUCACUUUUUCCUUCUCUUUCUUUUGGAAGUAUUGAUCAAUGCUUAUAAGAAGAAAUCUACUGUGAGAGUGAAUGAUGCAAUUGGGUCCAUAUCGCAAGGAAUGCUGCAGCAGCUCUCAAGG